rnacentral:rRNA from 1 species
AUUGAACGCUGGCGGCAUGCCUUACACAUGCAAGUCGAACGGUAACAGGUCUUCGGAUGCUGACGAGUGGCGAACGGGUGAGUAAUACAUCGGAACGUGCCCGAUCGUGGGGGAUAACGAAGCGAAAGCUUUGCUAAUACCGCAUACGAUCUACGGAUGAAAGCAGGGGACCGCAAGGCCUUGCGCGAACGGAGCGGCCGAUGGCAGAUUAGGUAGUUGGUGGGAUAAAAGCUUACCAAGCCGACGAUCUGUAGCUGGUCUGAGAGGACGACCAGCCACACUGGGACUGAGACACGGCCCAGACUCCUACGGGAGGCAGCAGUGGGGAAUUUUGGACAAUGGGCGAAAGCCUGAUCCAGCCAUGCCGCGUGCAGGAUGAAGGCCUUCGGGUUGUAAACUGCUUUUGUACGGAACGAAAAGACUCUGGUUAAUACCUGGGGUCCAUGACGGUACCGUAAGAAUAAGCACCGGCCAACUACGUG